rnacentral:rRNA from 1 species
UACGAAGGGGGCGAGCGUUGUUCGGAAUUACUGGGCGUAAAGCGUGCGUAGGUGGUUUGUUAAGUCUGUUGUGAAAGCCCCGGGCUCAACCUGGGAAUGGCAAUGGAUACUGGCAGGCUAGAGUGCGGUAGAGGGUAGUGGAAUUCCCGGUGUAGCGGUGAAAUGCGUAGAGAUCGGGAGGAACACCAGUGGCGAAGACGGCUACCUGGACCAGCACUGACACUGAGGCACGAAAGCGUGGGGAGCAAACAGG